rnacentral:rRNA from 1 species
AUUGAACGCUGGCGGCAGGCCUAACACAUGCAAGUCGAGCGGAUGAAGGGAGCUUGCUCCUGGAUUCAGCGGCGGACGGGUGAGUAAUGCCUAGGAAUCUGCCUGGUAGUGGGGGAUAACGUCCGGAAACGGGCGCUAAUACCGCAUACGUCCUGAGGGAGAAAGUGGGGGAUCUUCGGACCUCACGCUAUCAGAUGAGCCUAGGUCGGAUUAGCUAGUUGGUGGGGUAAAGGCCUACCAAGGCGACGAUCCGUAACUGGUCUGAGAGGAUGAUCAGUCACACUGGAACUGGGACACGGUCCAGACUCCUACGGGAGGCAGCAGUGGGGAAUAUUGGACAAUGGGCGAAAGCCUGAUCCAGCCAUGCCGCGUGUGUGAAGAAGGUCUUCGGAUUGUAAAGCACGUUAAGUUGGGAGGAAGGGCAGUAAGUUAAUACCUUGCUGUUUUGACGUUACCAACAGAAUAAGCACCGGCUAACUUCGUG